CCUACGGGCGGCUGCAGUGGGGAAUAUUGGACAAUGGGCGAAAGCCUGAUCCAGCCAUGCCGCGUGUGUGAAGAAGGCCUUCGGGUUGUAAAGCACUUUCAGUGGGGAAGAAAGCCUUGGGGCUAAUACCCUCGAGGAAGGACAUCACCCACAGAAGAAGCACCGGCUAACUCCGUGCCAGCAGCCGCGGUAAUACGGAGGGUGCGAGCGUUAAUCGGAAUUACUGGGCGUAAAGCGCGCGUAGGCGGUCUGAUAAGCCGGUUGUGAAAGCCCCGGGCUCAACCUGGGAACGGCAUCCGGAACUGUCAGGCUAGAGUGCAGGAGAGGAAGGUAGAAUUCCCGGUGUAGCGGUGAAAUGCGUAGAGAUCGGGAGGAAUACCAGUGGCGAAGGCGGCCUUCUGGACUGACACUGACGCUGAGGUGCGAAAGCGUGGGUAGCAAACAGGAUUAGAUACCCGAUAGUC
rnacentral:rRNA from 1 species